UGGAUCCAGACUUUGAUCAUGGCUCAGGACGAACGCUGACGGCGCGCCUAACACAUGCAAGUCGAACGGAGCUGAGAGGAGCUUGCUUUUCUUAGCUUAGUGGCGAACGGGUGAGUAACGCGUGAGUAACCUGCCCUGGAGUGGGGGACAACAGUUGGAAACGACUGCUAAUACCGCAUAAGCCCACGGUGCCGCAUGGCACUGCGGGAAAAGGAUUUAUUCGCUUCAGGAUGGACUCGCGUCCAAUUAGCUAGUUGGUGAGGUAACGGCCCACCAAGGCGACGAUUGGUAGCCGGACUGAGAGGUUGAACGGCCACAUUGGGACUGAGACACGGCCCAGACUCCUACGGGAGGCAGCAGUGGGGGAUAUUGCACAAUGGGGGAAACCCUGAUGCAGCGACGCCGCGUGGAGGAAGAAGGUUUUCGGAUUGUAAACUCCUGUCGUUAGGGACGAUAAUGACGGUACCUAACAAGAAAGCACCGGCUAACUACGUGCCAGCAGCCGCGGUAAAACGUAGGGUGCAAGCGUUGCCCGGAAUUACUGGGUGUAAAGGGAGCGCAGGCGGACCGGCAAGUUGGAAGUGAAAUCCAUGGGCUCAACCCGUGAAUUGCUUUCAAAACUGCUGGCCUUGAGUAGUGCAGAGGUAGGUGGAAUUCCAGGUGUAGCGGUGGAAUGCGUAGAUAUCGGGAGGAACACCAGUGGCGAAGGCGACCUACUGGGCACCAACUGACGCUGAGGCUCGAAAGCAUGGGUAGCAAACAGGAUUAGAUACCCUGGUAGUCCAUGCCGUAAACGAUGAUUACUAGGUGUUGGAGGAUUGACCCCUUCAGUGCCG
rnacentral:rRNA from 1 species